UGUGUGGCUCAUCAGAUUCAACGGACAAAGUUGUAAAAGAAAAAAAUACUAUCUUUUUGAGAUUUCUUCCGAAUAUGAACACAGUCCGGUCAUUAUUAUGUGGCUUUCUACCGGGUGCAUGCCCAAGGACGUAAAUAACUCAAUAUAUAAUGAUGCUAUAGAGUUUAAAUUGAUGUUAAUAGAUCUAAUGUCAUGCUAGAAUUUUAAAUGAGUGCGGUUUUCCCCAAUUGGGUAAAUAGAAUUGGAUUUAUACCUGAUAACCAAUAUUUUUAAGACCUUCAUGUUUCGGGGCAAGGAAAUGGGUCCUCCUAGGCCGCUGGAUCUGAAACUCUUGUACUACUAUGUGUGGACUAAACUUGCAAAUUACGCUAUUGUUUCCUUGUCUGCUUCAAUUCUCGAGGCAGUUGUCAACAUGGAGAAGGAGUUCCUCAUAAGGUCUAUGGCAGGGUCAGGUUGGAGACUGGUGUUUGGUUUGAGUGAUUGACUUCUCUAUGGACUCCUACAUGACAGAGCAAAAGAUUUAUGAAUUGCUGAAUUUAUUUUUGGAAAUAAAUUGUAAUAUACUUUAUCCUUUAGUUUUCAGGAUUCAAAAUCCCCACCUUUUAAAGACCCUCACUUUUUCAGACUAAAAAAGUAUAAUAGUUAUAUAAUACAAAUACUUGUUACUCCUGAUAAUACAACUUUCAAUAUUAUAUAAGCUCUCCAGGAGUCCUAAUGACUAAUUAAGGAUAUCGGAAAUAAUAUAUUAAAUGUAUUCGUUGUAUUUAAGAGGAUGUAAUUGUUCCGGGAUUGUUGAAAUGAUUUGUUAUUUAAUUAUGUAGAUAUUUUUAAUUAACUGUCUAUUACGAUUUGAAUAUUAAUUGUAUAAUAGGGCUAGUAAAAUGAAAUACAUUAUUUUUCCAA
rnacentral:lncRNA from 1 species